rnacentral:rRNA from 1 species
CCUACGGGUGGCAGCAGUGAGGAAUAUUGGUCAAUGGUCGGGAGACUGAACCAGCCAAGCCGCGUGAGGGAUGAAGGUACAGAGUAUCGUAAACCUCUUUUGUCAGGGAACAAAGGCGGGGACGUGUCCCCGGAUGAGUGUACCUGAAGAACAAGCAUCGGCUAACUCCGUGCCAGCAGCCGCGGUAAUACGGAGGAUGCGAUCGUUCUCCGGUUUUGUUGGGUUAAAGGGGUGCGAAGGGGGUCUUUUAAGUCAGCGGUAAAAGCCCGGGGCUAAGCCCCGGCCCGCCGUUGAAACUGGCAGUCUCGAGUUGGAGAGAAGUAUGCGGAAUGCGCGGUGUAGCGGUGAAAUGCAUAGAUAUCGCGAAGAACUCCGAUUGCGAAGGCAGCAUGCCGGCUCCACACUGACGCUGAGGCACGAAAGCGUGGGUAUCGAACAGGAUUAGAUACCCUUGUAGUC